UGCUAAAGGCCAUACCGGAACCUUGUCCGGCGAAAACAAAAAUUGCUGUACUAAUGAACUCUGCCAAUGCGGCCUUAAGUGCACCGGGAUGCACAACGUCCUCUCUUGGCAGCCCGAUUGCUACCCGAUUGAUCGGCAUUUUGGUUAAUCUCUAAAUAUCAAACGGCUGAGAUUAGAUAGUCGGAUAGAGAACGAGCUACACUAGCUAGUAGUGAGGAGUACUUAAUUCCUG
rnacentral:misc_RNA from 1 species